CUCUAUCUCUCUCUCUCUAUCUCCAAAAAAACCCACUUCUGUUAAACCUAAAUCAUACCAAAAUUAGCUUGAAUCCAUGGAUGUAGAUAAGAAAUAUGGACUCCAAUACAAGCGAACAAGAUUCAAGAAUACUGAAAACAAUGGAGAAUAAUUACACUCUGAUCUAUCCCAAAAAAAACCUUAAAAGAAGGAAUCGACUGGGAAAGGGAAGAUAUUCAAAAAGCAUGAUAGUAAAACACGGCGUCAAGAAAUCUGCUGCUGUUAAAACACAGCGUCAAGAAAUCUGCUGCUGCUAAAACACAGCGUCAAGAAA